rnacentral:rRNA from 1 species
CAGCAGCCGCGGUAAUACGUAGGGUGCAAGCUUUAAUCGGAAUUACUGGGCGUAAAGCGUGCGCAGGCGGUUCGGAAAGAAAGAUGUGAAAUCCCAGAGCUUAACUUUGGAACUGCAUUUUUAACUACCGGGCUAGAGUGUGUCAGAGGGAGGUGGAAUUCCGCGUGUAGCAGUGAAAUGCGUAGAUAUGCGGAGGAACACCGAUGGCGAAGGCAGCCUCCUGGGAUAACACUGACGCUCAUGCACGAAAGCGUGGGGAGCAAACAGGAUUAGAUACCCUGGUAGUCCACGCCCUAAACGAUGUCAACUAGCUGUUGGGGCCUUCGGGCCUUGGUAGCGCAGCUAACGCGUGAAGUUGACCGCCUGGGGAGUACGGUCGCAAGAUUAAAACUUAAAGGAAUUGGCGGG